UGAGCAUUAAAGCCGUAAUGGGCCUAAUCCCUUGUUUGAGUGUACAGACAUUGGGGUGAGAGAGGCAUGAGGGAGGAGAAAAGGAUCAGUUCACAAGUAGUGACAUUGCCCCUAAUUUGAGAGGAGUCUCCAUUCCUUGUUCACUACUUGAUGGCGAAAUAUCAAUUUUGGCCACAAAAAGUCAGUCUGCCCAUGUGAAGUUGUUCUCUCUCUCCUUUGUAGCCAUUCUCCUUCUUCUCCUUUGUAGCCAUCCUCCAAGCCCAUUCUAAUGCCGCCAAAUGUCCUGGAUUCUAUUCCGACCUUCUCCGCAGACUGGCCACAUCAUCUGCUCCUUCAUCGUCACGAACCAAUGUCUUCUUCUCCUCUUCUUGGCAUGUUGAACAUCUCGCAGUCACACUGGUUUCGAUCUCUAUCUAGCUGGCGAAACUCUCGAAACCGGAGAAGCUUAAGAACCUUAAUUCCCAUUUCUCAGUGGAUAGCUUGAAACCCCAAGCUCAAGCUCAGCUCAAGCUGCAUCAUUGAUUUGGAUCUCCAUUGCUAGGGAGCUUGGACGUUUUUUAAGGGGAGCAGCUUGCUUGCUUGCGAUUGGCAUCUUCAGGAGGCCGAAAUUCCAGCUUUUUUCUUCUCUUAAAAGCUUGGAGUUGGAGGGAGAUUCUCUUCACCGGCGGAUCCUCGGAGAGAUUAAAGAUUAUUGUAGCGAGUCUUAGCUCGCGGGACUUGGUGAACCCAACUCUGUAGCUCGGAGCCAGGAGAAGAUCAAGUUUAGGUCUGGGGGGUGUCAGAGAGUCGUAUUGUCUGCUUUAUCAGUAUCUUGUUAUUACCUGCUUAAGAGUGUAAGACUUGUAUUCUGACUGUAUUUGUAAUUUGCAAACUGUUGGAUUGU